CCUACGGGGGGCAGCAGUGAGGAAUAUUGGUCAAUGGGCGAGAGCCUGAACCAGCCAAGUCGCGUGAGGGAGUACUGCCCUAUGGGGUGUAAACCUCUUUUGUCGGGGAGCAAAAGCCGGACGUGUCCGGCUGUGAGAGUACCCGAAGAAAAAGCAGCGGCUCACCCCGUGCCAGCAGCCGCGGUAAGACGGAGGAUGCUAGCGUUAUCCGGAUUUAUUGGGUUUAAGGGGUGCGCAGGCGGAUUUUUAAGUCAGCGGUCAAAGCGUGGGGCUCAACCCCCACCAGCCGUUGAAACUGGGGAUCUAUAGUGUGCGAGAGGUAUGCGGAAUGCGUGGUGUAGCGGUGAAAUGCAUAGAUAUCACGCAGAACCCCGAUUGCGAAGGCAGCAUACCGGUGCACAACUGACGCUCAGGCACGAAAGCGUGGGUAUCGAACAGGAUUAGAUACCCUAGUAGUC
rnacentral:rRNA from 1 species